UGCCCUUUCACCUCUAGGGCAUAACCAAGGUGGAGUAAUGGCUCCCUCUAGCACUGUGAACAUGACGAGCCCUGGUCGAUCUACAAUAGGCAGGCGAACGAGGGCAAAAAAGGGAAGUAACGACGUGGACAAGGUGGAUGUCAGUGUUACAAGUGGUGUGACUAUUGCUCCAACUGCACAGCUGACAGACAGAAGACGAUCACAAGAGGUGGAGAUCUGUAAGAUGAAGCUAGAGUGGCAAAAGGAUUAGAUUGAUGAGCUCACCAAAGAAAGAGACUAUCUAAAGGAGCAAUUAGCAGCAUGUCUCACAAAAGAACCCACAAGGUCUGUCCAGCAUCCCAGUGACGUACUGAGCAUGUCUUCGCUUUCCUCUGACGGGUCAUUUGAUAAGGGUUCUGACUCCUCCACGAGCACAACUUCAUCACAUGAAGACAGUCAGAAGAGGAAGAAGAAAGGCAAAGCCAAAAAGAAUAAGAAGUCAAAGAAACAUGACCAAAUUGCAAGAACAAGAGGUAAAGUGAUUAAAUCUUUCUAUAAUUUGAUCCUACAUGCUGUAUUGUACUGCUGUUCUUCUGAGUUGGUUAUGUUAUUUAACCCUUCUAGUGUCCCUAGAGACUUAUGUGUGACUAAAAUUAAAUAAUCUUUCAUAAAUUCCAGUUUUUAGAUUGCUUUCAUCCUUAGCUUGAAAACUCACAAAUGUAAUAAAGUAGAGCUGGCAUGUCUGUUCUCACGGUGCGGGGGCUCUUUCCGACGCCCAUACAGUAUAAAAAUGCAAAUGACGACUUUAGUCGUCAUUGGCAGUUAAUGAGUAAAUUUAGAAAUAUGUGUGUUACAUCCCUACACUAUUACAUAAAAUUAAUAAUCUCAAUAUAACACAUUUGUUCUCUAAAUUGCAGCCCAGAAUCCCAAACAAGUGGUCCCCCGGUAUGAGAGGAUUUUGAGGCUGUUCAAAAAAGGAGGGACCAUGUCAGCUGCCUUUAAACGUCUGGGAGUGGACCGGAACACAAUUGUGGCAACUGCUCCAAUUGCUGAGCUUUUCAUUGUCGCACCUGAUAGGUAUAAAGAAUUAGAAAAAAACAAACAGGGUAAGAAACUGUCAUUGUUUGCAACACAGUGUGCUGCAGCAAUCAGUGCAGAUCCAGAAAUAGAGGACAAACGUGAGUCCUAUAAGUCUUCUGGGAAGUUGCUUCCUCUUAAAAAAAAAGACUAGAUUUUAGUGGUUUUUUUACAUUGUGAAAUGUGGUGAUAGGUCACCAUUGUUAACUGCAAAAAGGGCCAGAUUUAGUUAUGUAGUCCAGUUGAUUGGCAGAUUUGUGUGAUAAAAAAAGACACUCUAUUUUUGGUUUGCAUGACUUUUAUUAUUUUUUUACUGUUAGAUUCUAUGUUUAUUUUAAAGAUCACACAUGUGAUACAUUUCAUGUAAAAACAUACAGGUCAUAAAAGUGCAUCAAGCCUUGUUCUUUACUUCAAAUACUGGCUAAUAGUGGUUCAGCACAAUGUUUGUUUUGACAGUUGUGUGUCAAUAUUUGUAAGCAUUGUUUUGAUGUUUUAUAAUUGGCAUCUUAAAAAUAAAGUGCUUUCUGUAUCUGUGUUGUCCUUUAUUUUUUAUUACAAUGUAUUUUGAAAAACUUUCACAUUUAUUAAUAGGUUGUAAGGUAUAUAUAGUCUCCACUUUAGAUGAGCUCACUCAAAAUACUUAACUAAGAAGUAGUAAAUGGUUUGUAACGUUCUAAAGUAGUUUAUUAAUGUAUUUAUAAUAACUGAUAGAUUAUCUAUUUAAAAAGAAGUGGGUCGGUAGGGAGCUGCAUCUUUGGAAGCCGUCAAGUGACAAUUGUAAAUGUAUUGUAAGACAUCUGUUAACAUUUAGUAGCUGACUGAUGUAGUCGUGAGAUUCAGUGUUUAGAAAACAUCUAGUGAGACUAGUAUGUGUAGUAAAUGUUUAGUUUAUAGUAUUAAAUAGGGUAUGUUAACUAUUUACUUACCCUUUACCAGUGGGAUUGUAUACUGUUUUACAUCAUGAAAGGACUGGUUUGUAAAUGAUGGAGAGCAGAGUUUAUAAAUGAUUAAUCAAUGACUUAUAGAUCAUGAAACAUCAUGAAUAAAAGUGUGACACAGUAGCUUCUUCAUCAUGAAUAAAGCCUUAAUAGUGGUGCUUGUAAGCUGUUAAGUAAUUAUGAUCAUCUUUUUGCAGAUGCUUUACAAAUGAUUAAAUAACCAUUAGCCAAUGCUUUACUGAUGAUUA